rnacentral:rRNA from 1 species
UACGGAGGGGGCAAGCGUUAUUCGGAAUCAUUGGGCGUAAAGGGCGCGUAGGCGGCUUGGCAAGUCAAAGGUGAAAUCCCUCGGCCCAACCGAGGAACUGCCUUUGAUACUGCCUGGCUCGAGGCCGGGAGAGGGUAGCGGAAUUCCCAGUGUAGCGGUGAAAUGCGUAGAUAUUGGGAGGAACACCAGUGGCGAAGGCGGCUACCUGGACCGGUUCUGACGCUGAUGCGCGAAAGCGUGGGGAGCAAACAGG